rnacentral:hammerhead_ribozyme from 1 species
AUUCAGCUGACGAGUCCUGAAUAGGAUGAAACGCGCGUUCUGGAU